rnacentral:rRNA from 1 species
GGUGAACGCUGGCGGCGUGCUUAAGGCAUGCAAGUCGAACGCAGUCUUCGGACUGAGUGGCGCACGGGUGAGUAACACGUAACUGACCUACCCCCAAGUCGCGAAUAACCAGCCGAAAGGAUGGCUAAUACGUGAUGUGAUGAUCCGCUGUGGCGGAUCAUUAAAGACUUGAUCGCUUGGGGAUGGGGUUGCGUUCCAUCAGCUAGUUGGUAAGGUAAAGGCUUACCAAGGCAACGACGGAUAGCCGGCCUGAGAGGGUGGCCGGCCACCGGGGCAAUGAGACACGGGUCCCACUCCUACGGGAGGAAGCAGUUAGGAAUCUUCCACAAUGGGCGCAAGCCUGAUGGAGCGACGCCGCGUGAGGGAUGAAGGUUCUCGGAUCGUAAACCUCUGAACCAACGACGAAAGACCCGACAAGGGAGAUGACGGUAGUUGGGUAAUAGCACCGGCUAACUCCGUGCCAGCCGCCGCAGUAACAC